AUUGAACGCUGGCGGCAGGCCUAAUACAUGCAAGUCGGGCGCGCGGCGGUCGGGUGUGUAAUGUAUGGGGCUCUGCCUGAUGGAGGGGGAUAACUACUGGAAACGGUAGCUAAUACCGCUUACCAUCAGAUGAACCAUUAUGCGACUAGCUUGUAGGUGAGGUAACGGCUCACCUAGGCGACGAUCCCUAGCUGGUCUGCGAGGGUGAUCAGCCACACUGGGACUGAGACACGGCCCAGACGCCUACGGGAGGCAGCAGUGGGGAAUAUUGCGCAAUGGGCGAAAGCCUGAUGGAGCCAUGCCGCGUGAGUGAAGAGGGUCUUCGGGUUGUAAAGUAGGUUCAUUCGGGAGGCGGUACCGACAGAGGAAGCCCCGGCUAACUCCGUGCCAGCAGCCGCGGUAAUUC
rnacentral:rRNA from 1 species